AUAUUCUGGCUACUGUGCCAGCUGGUGGAUAGUUCGGCUCGAGAGCCGACGACGGACGUGCCAAGCUGCGAUAAGCCCGAGGGAGCCGCACGGAGGCGAAGAACUCGGGAUCUCCGAAUGGGAAUCCCCUCCGCAAUUGCUUUGCGCAAUGGGGAACACCCCGAAUUGAAACAUCUUAGUAGGGGUAGGAAGAGAACGCAACCGCGAUGUCGUUAGUAACCGCGAGUGAACACGAUCUAGUUCAAACCGAAGCCUUCACGGGCAAUGUGGUGUGUGGGCUGACUCUCAACGUCCGAUCGCUUCUGUGAAGUCUCCUGGAACGGAGCGUGAAACAGGGUGACAACCCCGUAACAGAAGACAGUACGACGUGCGUCAGUACCCGACUAGCAGGGACCGGAUAUUCUCUGUGAACGACUCAGGCAUCCCCUGAGAAAACUAAAUACUCCUCGAGACCGAUAGUGAACAAGUAGCGUGAGCGAACGCUGAAAAGCACCCCGAGAAGGGCGGUGCAAUAGGGCUUGAAAUCAGUUGGCGAUAGAGCGACGGAGCACACAAGGCGUUGUGGGCAACGACAACGGGGCAACCCGUCAGUAGGAACCACACCGAGCCGGUGUUGCGUCGUACGUUUUGAAAAACGAACCAGGGAGUGUGCCUGUUUGGCGAGUCUAACCGGUCGACCCGGGGAGGCGUAGGGAAACCGAUACGGCCGCAGCAUUGCCAGGGCCACCGUGUUCAAGCGCGGGGAGUCAAACACGCACUACCCGAAACCGAGCGAUCUACGCGCAGGCAGGGCGAAGCGUGCCGAAAGGCACGUGGAGGCCCGUUAGGGGUGGUGUCCUACAAUACCCUCCCGUGAUCUGCGUGUAGGGGUGAAAGGCCCAUCGAGCUCGGCAACAGCUGGUUCCGACCGAUACAUGUCGAAGCAUGACCUCUCCUGAGGUAGUCUGCGAGGUAGAGCUACCGAUUGGACGACCCGCCGUCGAGAGACGUCGGCCGUCCUGUCGAACUCCGAACUUGCAGACGCCGUGGACGGAGGGAGUCGGUGCGCGGGGUAAGCCUGCGUACCACGAGGGAGACAACCCAGUGCAGGGUUAAGGUCCCAAAGUGCAGACUAAGUGCGAUCGAAGGUGGUCUCGAGCCCUAGACAGCCGGGAGGUGAGCUUAGAAGCAGCUACCCUCCAAGAAAAGCGUAACAGCUUACCGGCCGAGGUUCGAGGCGCCCAAAAUGAUCGGGGCUCAAGUCUGCCACCGAUACCCUGCUGUGCCGGUGACACGGCAACCAUGCAGGUCGGCGCUCUGAUUGGGUGGAAGUGCGGACGAGAGUUCGUGUGGACCGAUCAGUGACGAAAAUCCUGGUCACAGUAGCAGCGAUUGUCGGGUGCGAACCCCGACGGCCUUACGAGCAAGGGUUCCUCGGCACUGCUUAUCAGCCGAGGGUUAGCCGGUCCUCAGCUCCCCCGUAAGUCGACGGGAGCAAGGGGAAACAGGUUAAUAUUCCUGUGCCGCCGCGCAUUGAAAACUGACGCUUUGGGGUCGAUCGAGCCGGGCCUUCGCCCGGUCGAAUCAGGGACCACCGUGGAAGCCGUCACGGCACGAAGCGGUCUGAUCCUGAGAUAGCGCAAGUCGAUCCAACCCAGAGCCCGUGAAAAAGCGAGCGCGGUGUCCGUACCGAGAUCCGACUCAGGUGCUCUGCCGGCGAAAGGCAAGGCCUGUCGGGACAACCGGCGUUAGGGAAUUCGGCACGUUAGUCCCGUACCUUCGGAAGAAGGGAUGCCUGCUCUGCAGAGAGCAGGCCGCAGUGACUCGGGCGCUCCGACUGUCUAAUAACAACACAGGUGACCGCAAAUCCGCAAGGACUCGUACGGUCACUGAAUCCUGCCCAGUGCGGGUAUCUGAACACCUCCUACAAGAGGACGAAGGACCCGUUAACGGCGGGGGUAACUAUGACCCUCUUAAGGUAGCGUAGUACCUUGCCGCUUCAGUAGCGGCUUGCAUGAAUGGACCAACGAGAGCGCCACUGUCCCAACGCUGGACCCGGUGAACUGUACGUUCCAGUGCGGAGUCUGGAGACCCCCAAGGGGAAGCGAAGACCCUAUAGAGCUUUACUGCAGGCUGUCACUGAGACGUGGUCGCGGAUGUGCAGCAUAGGUAGGAGUCGUUACCGAGGCCCAUGCGCCAGCAUGGCGCCCAGACAACCGUGAAAUACUACCCGUCUGUGACUGCGACUCUCACUCCGGGAGGAGAACACUGGUAGCCGGGCAGUUUGACUGGGGCGGUACGCGCUCGAGAAGCGAUCGAGCGCGCCCGAAGAUCACCUCAGCCGGGUCGGAAAUCCGGCGUCGAGCGCAAGAGCACACGGUGGUCUGACAGUGAUUUUCCCAACGAGAAUCGCUGACGCGAAAGCGUGGUCUAGCGAACAGAUGCAGCUCCGGCAUGGGGCUCAUCUAUGACAGAAAAGCUACCUUAGGGAUAACAGAGUCGUCACUCGCAAGAGCACAUAUCGACCGAGUGGCUUGCUACCUCGAUGUCGGUUCCCUCCAUCCUGCCCGUGCAGACGCGGGCAAGGGUGAGGUUGUUCGCCUAUUAAAGGAGGUCGUGAGCUGGGUUUAGACCGUCGUGAGACAGGUCGGCUGCUAUCUAUUGGGGGUGUGAGGUGCCUGCCGGGAACGAGCGUAUAGUACGAGAGGAACUCCGCUCGGGCGCCACUGGUGUACCGGUUGUUCGAGAGAGCACUGCCGGGCAGCCACGCGCCACGGGGUAAGAGCUGAACGCAUCUAAGCUCGAAACCCACCCGAAAACGAGGCACCGUUGAGGUCUCGCCUACAACAGGCGUUCGAUAGACUCGGGGUGUACGCGUCGAGGCAACGAGACGUUCAGCCCGCGAGCACUAACAGACCAAGCCGCAUUCAUG
rnacentral:rRNA from 1 species